GACGAACGCUGGCGGCGUGCCUAAUACAUGCAAGUAGAACGCUGAAGAGAGGAGCUUGCUCUUCUUGGAUGAGUUGCGAACGGGUGAGUAACGCGUAGGUAACCUGCCUUGUAGCGGGGGAUAACUAUUGGAAACGAUAGCUAAUACCGCAUAACAUUGGAUGACACAUGUCAUUUAUUUGAAAGGGGCAAUUGCUCCACUACAAGAUGGACCUGCGUUGUAUUAGCUAGUAGGUGAGGUAAUGGCUCACCUAGGCGACGAUACAUAGCCGACCUGAGAGGGUGAUCGGCCACACUGGGACUGAGACACGGCCCAGACUCCUACGGGAGGCAGCAGUAGGGAAUCUUCGGCAAUGGGGGCAACCCUGACCGAGCAACGCCGCGUGAGUGAAGAAGGUUUUCGGAUCGUAAAGCUCUGUUGUAAGUCAAGAACGGGUGUGAGAGUGGAAAGUUCACACUGUGACGGUAGCUUACCAGAAAGGGACGGCUAACUACGUG
rnacentral:rRNA from 1 species